UGGUGGAGUGAUUUGUCUGGUUAAUUCCGUUAACGAACGAGACCUUAACCCGCUAAAUAGUUACAUGUAAUUUCGAUUAUGUGGGCAACUUCUUAGAGGGGCUUUGUGUGCAUAAUGCGAGGAAGUUUGAGGCAAUAACA
rnacentral:rRNA from 1 species